rnacentral:rRNA from 1 species
UACGUAGGGUGCAAGCGUUAAUCGGAAUUACUGGGCGUAAAGCGUGCGUAGACGGUAGCGUAAGUCGGGUGUGAAAGCCCCGGGCCUCAACCUGGGAAUUGCAUUCGAGACUGCUCUGCUAGGGUGCGGAAGAGGGAAGCGGAAUUUCCGGUGUAGCGGUGAAAUGCGUAGAUAUCGGAAGGAACACCAGUGGCGAAGGCGGGUCUCUGGACAGUUCCUGACGCUGAGGCACGAAGGUCAGGGGAGCGAAACGGG